AAAACAACAUAUUAUGAUAUCAAUAAAUUAUAUUUUAGAAUUUUAGAUUUAGAAAAACUCAAAUAUCAAUAUUUUACAAUUUAAGUCUAUAAAUUUAAUCAUAAUGUUUUUUGCAUUUUCUCUGUUUUUAGUCUUUAAAACAUAUAUUUAACUUUUUUUUAAAAAAGUUUAAAAUAAGUAAAUAAUUUUACAAAGGUUGGUUUGGAAUAGUAAACAUAGUCACCUUGAGAAGGCUACUAUAGGUUUCAUGUUACUAAUAAAAGUAGUUGUACGUUAUUUUCAUAAUUUGUUUUGUUUUUCAUAACUUUAACCCAUCUUAGUUUAUAUAAACUGUCAUUUUCUUUAUUUCUAUUUUUAUGGUCAUUUCUUUAAAACAAAAUAUUAAGAUAUCAAUCAAUUAUAUUUUAGAAUUAUAGAUUUUGAAAAACUCAAAUAUCAAUACGUUACAAUUAAAGUCAAUAAAUUUAAUUAUAAUGUUUUUUGCAUUUUCUCUGUUUUUAGUGUUUGAAACAUAUAUUUAACUUUUUUUUAAAAAUGUUUAAAAUAAGUAAAUAAUUCUACAAAGGUUGAUUUGGAAUAGUAAACAUAGUCACCUUGAGAAGGCUAUUAUAGGUUUCAUGUUACUAAUAAAAGUAGUUGUACGUUAUUUUCACAAUUUGUUUUGUUUUUCAUAACUUUAACCCAUCUUAGUUUAUAUAAACUGUCAUUUUCUUUAUUUCUUUUUUUAUGAUCACUUUUUUAAAACAACAUAUUAUGAUAUCAAUAAAUUAUAUUUUAGAAUUUUAGAUUUAGAAAAACUCAAAUAUCAAUAUUUUACAAUUUAAGUCUAUAAAUUUAAUCAUAAUGUUUUUUGCAUUUUCUCUGUUUUUAGUCUUUAAAACAUAUAUUUAACUUUUUUUUAAAAAAGUUUAAAAUAAGUAAAUAAUUUUACAAAGGUUGGUUUGGAAUAGUAAACAUAGUCACCUUGAGAAGGCUACUAUAGGUUUCAUGUUACUAAUAAAAGUAGUUGUACGUUAUUUUCAUAAUUUGUUUUGUUUUUCAUAACUUUAACCCAUCUUAGUUUAUAUAAACUGUCAUUUUCUUUAUUUCUAUUUUUAUGGUCAUUUCUUUAAAACAAAAUAUUAAGAUAUCAAUCAAUUAUAUUUUAGAAUUAUAGAUUUUGAAAAACUCAAAUAUCAAUACGUUAC
rnacentral:lncRNA from 1 species